CAGACAAGAAAGUAAAAUUUGUGCAAUUGAUAAAACUAGGUGUACUAAUCUUUCAACUUUUUAUGAAGACUAGAUACACAGACACCGGUAAAAGAGAUUCUCUCUGUCAGAAAAGAAAGUAAACUCUAGCUUACAGUCUUACACCGACUUCUUAAAGGUGCUCAACGGUCAGUCAGUCUUCUCUCUCAUUGACCAAGUCCAAAAGGAUAUUCAACAACUCCACACUUUAUAUUUAAAGUGGACACUGUAUCUGUUUUUCUAGGUGUUUUAACAUAUUUUUUGCCACAUUUCUUCGGUAUGCCCGUCUCAUCUUCAGAAGCAGGGUAAACUAACCCUUGCACUUUAAUGUGCAAUGGGCACGUCAACAGCCUCUUAUAGUUGAAUAUAGUUUUCUUUUGGUAUAAGGAAAUGAAUUAUUGUUCGUACAAAUUAAAAGUAUGAUCAGGAUGAAGACAGCAAGGUGCGCACACUUGAAGAUGAAGAUGAAGACGUUAAGGAUGUUUAUGUAGCUACGUUGUUACCAUUGUUCGUUUGUACUGUGUACAGCAUACAAAACAUGGCAGAGGCUCUCUCCUUGUGCAACAUUGUAAUAUUUUUUGUGAAGGUAUGUUUUUAUUUUCAGUCCUCAAGUUAAAAGAGGACUCUAAUUUCUAUUAGUAGCAUUUUUUAAUGGAGAAAUAAUGAUGAGUUUAACUAGUUUAUGAUCAAGGGAAAACAAGUUUUGAAGGGACCUGAAACCCUAUACAAAACAGGUUUGGGGGGCCCUGAAACCUGAACCUUAAGAUAAGCCUGAAAGUCCACUCAAUCAAACAGAACACGAGAGACAUGGCGACACCAGACAAAAGAUGGGGGGCAGCACAAGAAGGAAUCCCCAACAAGAACCAACUGGCUGUAACAAAGACCAGCAAGCAGCCCCAACCCAACCGGGACUGAUCAAGUAUUUGAUGUACACUUGUGAGAUCAAAGGGUCAUAUCAAAAGAGGCCCGGGACGAUUUAGAUUUCUUACUUUUAACGCUAAUCCAUCACUCCUCAACCCUAGCAGCAGUCCUUUGCAAGAAGACGGAUCCAAAAUAGAGGACCUCCACCACCAAGAGGAACAAAGGCAGCAUCAAGAGAGGCAGGGACAACAGAAAUCUGAGAAUCAGAAGGAUCAGACAAAGAUCCAGCAGAAAUCUGGGACAGACCAUUUUCAGCAGAAGAGACAGCAACAUCCUGAAUUCCAGCAAUUUUCACCGAGCCAUCCUUAGUGGCAUCCGAAGAAACAUUCUUCUCCAUAAAAGAAUCCGAACCAGCCUUCGAAAUCCUGGCAUCCACCGAUACAUUGGAAGAGUCCAAAGAUUUCAUAACAGAAUAAUGCUGGUAAGAGGCCCCCGACCACCAUGAGGCCACAAGAUAUUUCUUCUUGAGCCCACAAUUUCCAACUGCAUGGCCGGUUUUGAAGCAUUUCCGACACCUGAACGAAAUACCUUCGUAGUCCAAAGUUUGGACCCAGCUGCCAAAAGAGGAUUUGAUGGCAAUCUCAGCUGGAAGUCCCUUAGAUACAUCUAGAGUUUGACUAGUUUUGAGUAGUUAGAAUUAGUAUUUUCCAAUAUUUGGGGACUAUAAAUCAUAAGAAUUCAUGUUAUAGUAUUCCCUCCGGGUAACUGGGGAUCUCAUUGCUGCGGGGUUUCUGAUGCACUUAGAUUAGAGAAGUCUAAGCUUUAAUAUCUCAUAUUCCAUAAUAGAUCAGAAAUGAAGCCCAUUCCUGGCUCUUAUUCACUUUCAUUGUGUUGUCUAUAUUGUAGUGCCAUGAAGUAACAUAUGUACUCAAGUAUCAACAAAUCCAUUUAAUAUAAAAAUACAAGGGGUCAGUUA